UCCUUAGUACGAGAGGACCGGGAUGGACGUACCUCUGGUGUACCAGUUGUCCUGCCAAGGGCAUGGUUGGGUAGCUAUGUACGGAAUGGAUAAGCGCUGAAAGCAUCUAAGCGCGAAGCCAACUUCAAGAUAAGAUUUCCCACCGCAAGGGUAAGACCCCAGAAAGACUAUCUGGUUGAUAGGUCGAAGGUGUAAGUGCAGCAAUGUAUUUAGCUUAUCGAUACUAAUAGGUCGAGGACUUGACCAAU
rnacentral:rRNA from 1 species